rnacentral:tRNA from 1 species
UCAGCGAUGGCUGGGUGGUUAAGGCGCUGUAUAUCAAUAUAGAGGUCUCCGGUUCGACUCUUGUUGAA